ACUUCCCUCUGACCAACGUCAUACUCGUACACGUUUCAAGUUGGAGUUAGAGGAGAGGCACUGACAGAUAGCAAAGCAGGAGAUGAGAAGGGGAACAGCUGUAUAUCAUGAUUGAUAGAGUUACAGACAGACAGUUUUCCACUGUGCCCGUCAGUCAGAAUGGAUUAGCUGCUUGACUUUGGAGAGAGAAGAACUAAACUAUGGGAAGAGGAAAGAUGAUAUUCAGGAAAGACGAGAUGGAAACAAGGUACCCGUCCCUGAUUGGCUUUCCAGAAGACGACGGAAACGUCUAAUUGGCUGCUUCCCGGAAGUGACGAAUAUAAAGGCUGCUGAAGCGGACUUCCUGUGUUCCAUCCUUGACUCAUCUCCACCGGCCACACCCCUUUCCUUUGUUCACCUGUGUUAGAGUUCUGGAGUGUAGGAGUGAGCUGCCGUUUAUGUUUCCUCAAUUUUCUCAUGUUUUCUUAGUUAGGAAGGUAAGUUUUUGUCCUUUGGUUUAUUUACUUUCGAUUAGGUAAGUUUCUGUUACUAUUUAGAUAGUUUCCUUUUGUUUAUUGUUUUUGGCUAUAGCUCACUCUGAAGCCAAAUACUCCAUUUGUAACAUCUUUAUCAAAAGUAAAUCUUUUUAAAAUAAAUAGUAAUUAUCGACUGUUCAACUUCGUGUGUGUCGGUUGUUGAGAUCAGAGGAGGAUGGAUCCUUCAUGUUGCGACCUGGCCACCCCUAGACUGGUCGUAACAGCUAGUAUAAUUUCAAGGUCUAACAUUCAAACCUAAUACGGAGAAAAGUAUAAAGACUCUUUAAGAUUCUGCAGAGGCCAUGGUUUAAAAAUAAAGUCAGCUUCUUACACUGUCACAGCAGUGUAAGAAGCUAUUUAAAAGGCUACUGUAUUUUCUAUGGCGGCAUGUGGGUUGUUCAAUUAGACAGCUGGAGCAGAGAGUCAGUCCUUGGUGAUGGGUGCCUGUCAUUUCUUACCUUUCUGAAUUUUUGGUCAUUUCAUACUCGAAAUAGUGUAGGAGUGAUUUUAACAGGAGCACAUGUUAUUAGAUACCAGCAUGCUCUAGGCUUCAUUGUAUUCCUUUGUGUUCAGCCUACAGGCCUACAGAAUUGGAACUGGAAUUGGAAAUGUUAGACCUUUGCAAAUCUCUUACGUCACGGUAAGGGUCUACAUUUCUUAAGGUCACAAGGAGACUGAUAUUAUCAGUUAGUAAUGCAGAUCACUAAUGUGAGACAGUAAAGACAGCUUAAAGUAUUAACUCCAAAUUAAUUUUGUUUAAAAAAAAAAAGAAAAAUAAAAUAAAAAACUUUAUCACAGUGUCUGCCCUAUUACAGAGUGUUAUUAUAUUGGUUCCCACAAAACAACAGAAUGACCAGAUUUUUUUUUUAAUGUGAUUACUUGUCACCUUAAAAAGUUAAAUUAUAGCAGAUUUAAAAAGAAAUCUUAGAAUUGGAAAUCGGUCAAUAAUCUGUGACUGAUUAUGAUGACGUUUUUAUUCGUGAUUCAAUUAUUUUUCUAGAUGACUGAGCCAAAUGUUGUUGAAAGUACACGUCAUAUAUCCAACAGCCUGAGUUCAUGUCUUUACAUCGCUAGUUUUGUGAGUGUGCUUGCUAUUUACAGCGAUGUCAAUUGCAGAAUAGCAGGCAAUCCUGACAUGUCACAACUAGAACGCUGAGAACGCUCAGUAUAUUUACUUGAUAAAUGACCUCAACAAGUAUCAAAAUUGUCAGUUAGUUUCACCACUUAGACAAAUACAUAUAUUGAGAGUAAGAGUGCAACAACAAUGUGAAACUGAUAUUUGUACUAAUCCGAGUUUACAACAGAGGCUCCCUGCUAACAAGGCUGCACUCAUGUUGCACUGUGUUCAACACCGUGAGGUGGCACAAUGCCUUCUCCUUCCGCUGUGAGAUCAAGACUGCUCUUUAAGAGUAAUCAGAAACUGUGAGGCUCAAGAUCAGUCAAUCUACACCUCAGCCACUGCCGCACCCAUUUACACACAAAGAGGUAAAACAAGCUUUUAAUUAACUUAACAACUCCUGAUUAAAACCUUUUGAAAAUGUAAGGAAAAAUAAGAAGAAAAAUAAGGUGUUUUAAUGUUUUAAGUAAAAAAAAACUGAUCAAGUCUACAGAGAUGUCAAUAUUACAAACUGGAGACUAUAGAAUUUAGGACACCAAAAGGGAAAAAAACAAAAUAACAUAUGGCAAAGUGGCUUUUAAGAAAAAGUGAGCUUAUCGGACCUCAUCAGUCGGAUAUUUUAUCUCUGCUGGAGUUUAGCUGUUUAAGGUUAUAAAUAUCUAAAAAAAAGAAAAAAAGAAAAAGAGGCUAAAACAUUACUUUGUAAGUUUAUAUGUAUAAAUAUUUGGCUCCCUAGCAACACUGAGCUAAAAGUAAAUCAGGCUAUAACUUCAUAUCUGCAAUCAGCAAAAACUCAAGAUAAUUAUGCUCGGAUUCGAAAACUGAUCCAGAAGGUGGACGACGAUCGAGUUGUGUGAUAGUUUUCUUUGGAAGGCUUUUUAUUUUGGCCUGUUUAUUUUAUUGCCAUUUAUUGAAUUCAAUGCAAUCCUACAUUGUAUACAGUUCAUUUCAAGGUUCAACACGCUGUGUAGUCAUUGAUUGCUUCUGCAAAUCUUGUUUUGAACAAACAAUUCUGCUGUUGCUUUUUUACCAUCCAGAUCCAGUCUGCCAACUCUCCUCUGACAGAGAGGAUAGCAUCACAUGGCUGUUGCAGAUUUCUGUCCUGUCCUAUUUCAUACCUAAGAUACUACUGGAGUCAGAUAAGAUGAACUCCAAGCUGAACCGCACAGCAUUUUGGGGGAUGUAGGCAGGGAAAAGACUGAAGCUGUUCAACCAACCAGCUAAGUAAGGUGAGUGGCAUAAACAAACUAACUCACUCACAAUUUGGUUACCUAGCAUAAAUUUGUUGAGUUGCACAGCAACAGUUUAGGUUGACACUAUGCCUUAUAACUGCUCCCUCAUAACAGCUGUGGAUAACAGAAGCAAAGUUACGUUACUAGUUUGGUAAUAUUUCAGAUAUUUAAAACUGAUGACUAAUUAUUGAUAACGACUGAUGCGAAAAGCUUAUAUCGUGAUACUAGGGCCGUAUUGUCCAGUCCUGGCCCAAAUGAUUUGACUUUUGCUACAUGUUGCAUUAUCCUGCUGAAAGUAAGCAUCAGGAAAAUGGACAGAUCAGGUGACCCAGAGUUGGACAAGUUGAGUAACAUUCUGCAAGGAUGUGGCGUUUAAACGAUGCUCAAGUGACAUUCCCAGGCUAAUGGUGUAUCAUGAGAAUAUUCCCCAAACAGGGGGAAUGUUUGGGGAAUACCAUUCAAAUGGUAUUCUAACCAUACCAUUUGAAUGUUGCAGCUGAGAUCAAGACUUAUCUUGAUUUCAGGCACUUAUUUGUCUAAUUUUGGUGAGUGUGUGAACUGGAGCCUCAGUUUUCUGUUCUUAGCUGACUGAAGAGACACCCGUUGCGUUUUUUUGCUGUUGUGGACCAUCUGCUUCAAGUUUCAACAUGCUGUGUUUUCAGUGAUCAUUUCUGCAUGUCUUGGUUUUAACAAGGGAAUUGUUUAAACUGCUGUUGAUUUUAUACUUUCUUGAUCCUGUCUGCCAACUCUCCUCUGACAGCAAGAAAAGGAUUUUCAUCCACACACCUCCUUAUUCAUCAUCUUCCUUUUCAACCACUGCUUGUAAAUCUGCAAAUAUGGUGAAUAUUCCUGAAAUACUGAGACCAGUUUUUCUGGAACCAGAAAAUACACUAAAAGUAACGUAAAUAUUUUUCUUCCCCAUUGUGAUGCUUGUUUUGAACAUCAGCAAGUUUUUAAAUACCUAAAUGUAUUGAGUUGCUAACAUGUGAUUGGCUGAAUUGCUAUUUGUGUUAACAAGAACAUGUGUGCCUAAAAAAGUGGCCAGCAUAUCAUAAGU